CAUUUUUUAGAGAUAGAAAUUCCCUUCGGGGCUUUCUGCAAGGUGCUGCAUGGUUGUCGUCAGCUCGUGCCGUGAGGUGUCGGGUUAAGUCCCAUAACGAGCGCAACCCUUAUCGUUAGUUGCCAUCUGGUAAUGCAGGGGACUCUAGCGAAACUGCCACCGUAAGGUGAGAGGAAGGUGGGGAUGACGUCAAAUCAGCACGGCCCUUAUGUCCAGGGCUACACACGUGUUACAAUGGUCGGUACAGAGGGCAGCUACCUGGUGACAGGAUGCUAAUCUCGAAAACCGGUCUCAGUUCGGAUCGAAGUCUGCAACUCGACUUCGUGAAGCUGGAUUCGCUAGUAAUCGCGCAUCAGCUAUGGCGCGGUGAAUACGUUCCCGGGCCUU
rnacentral:rRNA from 1 species